rnacentral:rRNA from 1 species
CCUUGUACACACCGCCCGUCACACCACGAGAGUUUGUAACACCCGAAGUCGGUGAGGUAACCGCAAGGAGCCAGCCGCCUAAGGUGGGAUAGAUGAUUGGGGUG